rnacentral:rRNA from 1 species
AACGAACGCUGGCGGCAUGCCUAACACAUGCAAGUCGAACGAGACCUUCGGGUCUAGUGGCGCACGGGUGCGUAACGCGUGGGAACCUGCCCUUAGGUUCGGAAUAACUCCCCUAAAGGGGUGCUAAUACCGGAUAAUGUCUUCGGACCAAAGAUUUAUCGCCUUUGGAUGGGCCCGCGUUGGAUUAGCUAGUUGGUAGGGUAAAAGCCUACCAAGGCGACGAUCCAUAGCUGGUCUGAGAGGAUGAUCAGCCACACUGGGACUGAGACACGGCCCAGACUCCUACGGGAGGCAGAAGUGGGGAAUAUUGGACAAUGGGCGAAAGCCUGAUCCAGCAAUGCCGCGUGAGUGAUGAAGGCCUUAGGGUUGUAAAGCUCUUUUACCCGGGAUGAUAAUGACAGUACCGGGAGAAUAAGCUCCGGCUAACUCCGUG